AUUGAACGCUGGCGGCAUGCCUUACACAUGCAAGUCGAACGGUAACAGGUCUUCGGAUGCUGACGAGUGGCGAACGGGUGAGUAAUACAUCGGAACGUGCCUAGUAGUGGGGGAUAACUACGCGAAAGAGUGGCUAAUACCGCAUGAGAUCUACGGAUGAAAGCAGGGGAUCGCAAGACCUUGUGCUACUAGAGCGGCCGAUGGCAGAUUAGGUAGUUGGUGGGAUAAAAGCUUACCAAGCCGACGAUCUGUAGCUGGUCUGAGAGGACGAUCAGCCAAACUGGGACUGAGACACGGCCCAGACUCCUACGGGAGGCAGCAGUGGGGAAUUUUGGACAAUGGGCGCAAGCCUGAUCCAGCAAUGCCGCGUGCAGGAUGAAGGCCUUCGGGUUGUAAACUGCUUUUGAACGGAACGAAAAGCCCUGGGUUAAUACCCUGGGGUCAUGACGGUACCGUAAGAAUAAGCACCGGCUAACUACGUGCCAGCCGCCGCCGUAA
rnacentral:rRNA from 1 species